rnacentral:antisense_RNA from 1 species
GUCACUUCCGGCGGGCGGGCUCCGAAAGGAGAGCGUGGUGGCUGGAGGUGAUCGGAAUGGACCGGCUGGAGUGUGCCGGGCUGACAGGUCUGAGGCCUGAAGGACUUCCGGGAACCGCAAAGCACGGUGUGCCUCCGUUGUCCUGAAGAAAAAGCCGCGCGCGGACGACUGGCCGGCCCGCCGUUGCAGCUCCCAGAAGUUGACAGGCAUCCUGCCGUGACCGGAGACAAGGUCUCACUCUGUCGCCCAGGCUGGAGUAAAGUGGCGCGAUCUCAGCUCACUGCAGCCUUGAACUCCCAGGCUCAAGCGAUCCUCCUGCCUCAGCCUCCCGAGUAGCUGGGACUAGAGAUCUGCACUGUAAGAAAAAUGAAAAGAAGUCCUUAAGGCAGAAAAAAAAUGAUACCAGAUGGAUAUGUGGAUCCACAUAAAGGAAUGAAGAGCACAGGAAAUAGUAACUAUACUGUCUUGCUCUGUCACCCAGGCUGGAGUGUGGUGGUGUGAGCUUGGCUCACUGCUAGACUAGUUGGAUCCAGGUUUCCUUCUUCAGUCCAGGCAGGACUGUGUGGGUGGAAAAGG